rnacentral:rRNA from 1 species
UACGGAGGGUGCGAGCGUUGUCCGGAAUCACUGGGCGUAAAGGGCGCGUAGGCGGCCUGAUAAGUAGGGGGUGAAAUCCUGCGGCUUAACUGCAGGGCUGCCUUCUAAACUGUCAGGCUAGAGCACAGUAGAGGCAGGUGGAAUUCCCGGUGUAGCGGUGGAAUGCGUAGAGAUCGGGAAGAACAUCAGUGGCGAAGGCGGCCUGCUGGGCUGUUGCUGACGCUGAGGCGCGACAGCGUGGGGGAGCAAACAGG